UACGUAGGAUGCAAGCGUUGUCCGGAAUUAUUGGGCGUAAAGAGCGCGCAGGCGGUAUGACAAGUCAGAUGUGAAAGAGGCCGGCUUAACCGGCAAGGGUCAUUUGAAACUGUCAGACUAGAGUGCAGCAGAGGAUAGUGGAAUUCCCGGUGUAGUGGUGAAAUGCGUAGAGAUCCGGAGGAACACCAGUGGCGAAGGCGACACGCUGGGCCGUACCUGACACUGAUGCGCGACAGCAUGGGGAGCAAACAGG
rnacentral:rRNA from 1 species